rnacentral:rRNA from 1 species
UACCAGCUCUCCGAGUGGUGUGGAUGUUUAUUGGGCCUAAAGCAUCCGUAGCUGGCUGGACAAGUCCCCUGUUAAAUCCACCGAUUUAAUCGUUGGUGUGCGGGGGAUACUGUUCGGCUAGGGGACGGGAGAGGCCGACGGUAUUUCCGGGGUAGGGGUGAAAUCCUAUAAUCCCGGGAAGACCACCAGUGGCGAAGGCUGUCGGCUAGAACGCGCCCGACGGUGAGGGAUGAAAGCUGGGGGAGCGAACCGGAUUAGAUACCCGGGUAGUCCCAGCUGUAAACGAUGCAGGCUAGGUGUUUGGGCGGCCACGUGCCGCUCUAGUGCCGCAAGGAAGCUGUUAAGCCUGCCGCCUGGGGAGUACGGCCGCAAGGCUGAACUUAAAGGAAUUGGCGGGGGAGCACCACAAGGGGUGAAGCUUGCGGUUU